rnacentral:rRNA from 1 species
UACGUAGGGUGCAAGCGUUGUCCGGAAUUAUUGGGCGUAAAGAGCUCGUAGGCGGUUUGUCGCGUCGAAUGUGAAAACCCGGGGCUCAACCCCGGGCCUGCAUUCGAUACGGGCAGACUAGAGUUCGGUAGGGGAGUCUGGAAUUCCUAGUGUAGCGGUGAAAUGCGCAGAUAUCAGGAGGAACACCGGUGGCGAAGGCGGGACUCUGGGCCGAUACUGACGCUGAGGAGCGAAAGCGUGGGGAGCAAACAGG